GCGUUGGUGGUUUAGUGGUAAAAUUGAUCGUUGCCAUUCGAAUCUGAAAAGAUUAUUAAGGAUUUCAUCCCCAACAUCAAGGACUUCACGAUUUCAAGCUCGAUCAGCCCCGGGUUCGAUUCCCGGCCGACGCA